rnacentral:lncRNA from 1 species
GUUAAAAGGUUUUUUGUCACUAAAAUGAUCUGUGUAAAUAGGGAAGUAAUGAUUUCAAACUAUAGUUCCGGGUUUUUUUUUUUUUUUUUUUUGAGAAAAGAUGAUUUUGGCGUGAGGAGUUUGUCAGUGUCUAACAAUUCUUUCCUAUAUUUUUCCUGAAGGCACUUGACUUUGGCAGAUAUUGAGAGAAUAGCCCCAUUGGCUGAGGGGGCCUUACCUUAUAACCUGGCAGAACUUCAGAGAAAGUUUGUUUAUUUGAAUCAGGACUCAGGUAAGGUCCACAGAAUGCAACUGUUGAUAGGUCUUUUAAGUCUCUUUUAAUCUGUAGAUUCUUCCUCUACUUUUCUUUUUUUUUUAAUUCCUUGCAAUUUAU